rnacentral:miRNA from 1 species
GUGUGUGUGUGUGUGUGUGUGUGUGUAUACAAUGCACACAAAUACACACACUGCAUUAUAUACACACUACACAAACACACUG